AGGUUGCAUUGUUUUUUGGGGUUUUUUUCCUCAUGUUAGUAGCUGUCUUAUUGAGCUGAUUGGGUUCUAGCACAAAGCCAGCAUUUUGCACGAAAUGCCAGCAAUUAGCUAGCGACAGCUUCUUGGUCAGAACUAACCUGGACUGAAUUGCAACCUCCUAUAUACCAGUUCUUUUCAAAUGUCCUCUCAUUUCCCUGAAAAAGUAAUUAAAAUUUAGAAGCAAUGAAUGCCCCACUUUCCAAAUCUUUUGCAGAAAAAACGUUGUGCUGUGCUUCUUGGUGUAAAGGAUGCUUUGACGUCCCGCAAUGUCACGUAAAGAGCUUUACAAUACCUUGGUUCCUGGCUACUGGAAAAUUGAUUUUGUAUCAGGAGGGCUUUUGGAACACAGCUUAAAUCACGAAAAACUAUAUUGAACGUCUGAAGGGGACAGUGAAAAACAGAAACUGAGUCGCUAUUGUAAAUAAGUAAAGCCUGUCUUUCUCUCUGCUCUCCAAAGCAGCGACCUAACCAGGGGCUCUGCUCAGUGCAGAGCUGCACUUCUUGGGAUGGUGAAGCGAGAGGACGGAGCACCGGGGGUGGGGGAAAGGGAUGAGAUGAUCAGGACAAGCCAAAAAGCGCUGACCUAAGGCACAGAGGGCCGGAUGCGAUGGGAAAGGGAUGCGGGCUCGGCGAGCGAUGGGAGGGGGACAGGCGGAGCGGAGGAGGAGCCGAUGGGUGGAAGUGCCGCUGGAGGAGCAGCGGUUCCCAGAGGCAGCGCGGAGCGGUGGGACAGGGAGGCGGGAACCCGCGCAGACCCCCGGCUGCACCGCCCCCGGCUCCGAGCCACCCCCGAACCGGCGGCGGGGGCCGGGGCAGAGCCGUCUCCCCGUGUGAGCAGGACCGCCGCAGCGGGCACGUCCAGGAUGUGAAGAGCCGUCCGCUGCUCGCACCCCGUCGCUGCCCGCGCUCUGCCGCUGCCGGAGCCUCGCCGGCGUCCAGCGCUGCCCCGGGCCAGCAUGACCGAGGUGAAAGCCAAGGAGCCCAGAGCGCCUCCCCCUGCCACAGACGGGGCGGUCCUGCUGCAGGGUCAGCCCGGCCGAGAUCCCUUCGGCGAGGAAGCAGAGUCCAUCGACAUCGCCCUGGACAGGCUGCUUUACCCCAAGAGCAGCGACGAGGAGGAGGGCGAAGAGGAGGAGGAGGAGGAGGAGCCCCCCCCCCCCCCCCCCCCCCCCCCCCCCCCCCCCCCCCCCCCCCCCCCCCCCCCCCCCCCCCCCCCCCCCCCCCCCCCCCCCCCCCCCCCCCCCCCCCCCCCCCCCCCCCCCCCCCCCCCCCCCCCCCCCCCUUCCAGCCAGGGAGCGGCUCCCUCUCGGUCAAGGACUGCCUGGACCCCAUCCUGGACACCUUCCUGGCUCCCGCGGCUCAUGCCAGCUCCACCGUGCCCGCGGCGCCCUGGUGCUUCUUCGAGGCGGAGGAGGCGCCCGACGGCGCGAUGAGCAGCGGCCCCUCGCAGAAGGCGGCCGAAGCCGCCCCGGGGCCCCCCCCCCCCCCCCCCCCCCCCCCCCCCCCCCCCCCCCCCCCCCCCCCCCC
rnacentral:lncRNA from 12 species